UAUUUGCUUUGCAAAAGAGAAAAUCAAAGCAUGGAGAGGUGAUCUACCUGAACAGCCAGGUCCUGAGUCACCUGUCCUGGUCCACAGCAGUGAGGACUCUCACUGCUGCCAUAGGAAUGACUUCUGAUCCCUUGGAACUUCAGCCAAAUAUUUCUUCUUGACAGACUCCCAAGGUCAACAUUAAAGAUGCAGACUUUGUGGUCCAUCAUGCAGAGGAGGACAACACCCCAGAGAUGACGAAAUAAUAAGAUGGAAGAACCCUAGGUUCCCAGCAAGUACAUGGAGCAGAGCCAUCAUCAUCUCAGUUGUUACAUGAGAGAGAAGUAAAAAAUGCAUUGACAAAGCUAUUGCAAGAGCUCUACUUAUAGCAAGGAGCCUUAAACUGAACUUCCGACUUUACCCAUUGAUGGGCCUCUCACUGUUGUGGCCUUUCCCAUUGCGGAGCACAGGCUCCGGACACGCAGGCUCAGCGGCCAUAGCUCACGGGCCUAGCCGCUCCGCGGCACGUGGAAUCUUCCCGGACUGGGGCACAAACCCGCAUCCCCUGCAUCGGCAGGCGGACUCUCAACCACUGCGCCACCAGGGAAGCCCCAUUUGUAAUUUUUGAAUGAAAAUCUUUAUGUUAACAACCAAUACAGAGUAAGUCUGGCUUAUUGAGAAGGAUUUUGCAAAAGUUACAAAUUCCAGUUAUAAGAUAAAUAAACACUAGGGAUAUAAUGUACAACAUGAUAAAUAUAAUUAACACUGCUGUAUGUUAUAUAUGAACAUUGUCAAGAGGGUAAAUCCUGAGUUCUCAUCACAAGGAAAAAUAUUUUACUCUGUUUCUUUGAUUUUGUACGUAUAUGAGAUAAUGGAUGUUCACUAAA